UACGGAAGGCAGCAGUGGGGAAUAUUGCACAAUGGGCGCAAGCCUGAUGCAGCCAUGCCGCGUGUAUGAAAAAGGCCUUCGGGUUGUAAAGUACUUUCAGUCGUGAGGAAGGUGUUAAGGUUAAUAACCUUAGCAAUUGACGUUAGCGACAGAAGAAGCACCGGCUAACUCCGUGCCAGCAGCCGCGGUAAUACGGAGGGUGCGAGCGUUAAUCGGAAUUACUGGGCGUAAAGGGCACGCAGGCGGUUAAUUAAGUUGGAUGUGAAAUCCCCGGGCUUAACCUGGGAAUGGCAUUCAAGACUGGUUAGCUAGAGUCUUGUAGAGGGGGUGAAUUCCAUGUGUAGCGGUGAAAUGCGUAGAGAUGUGGAGGAAUACCGGUGGCGAAGGCGGCCCCUGGACAAAGACUGACGCUCAUGUGCGAAAGCGUGGGGAGCAAACAGGGAUUAGGAUACC
rnacentral:rRNA from 1 species